rnacentral:rRNA from 1 species
UUCGCAAUGCCCGAAAGGGUGACGAAGCGACGCCGCGUGUGGGAAGAAGGCCUUCGGGUUGUAAACCACUGUCGGGAGUUAAGAAAUGCAAGGAUAUGAAUAGUGUCUUUGCUUGACUAAGGCUCCGGAGGAAGCCACGGCUAACUCUGUGCCAGCAGCCGCGGUAAUACAGAGGCGGCAAGCGUUGUUCGGAAUUAUUGGGCGUAAAGAGCACGUAGGCGGCUAUGUAAGUCGGUUGUGAAAGCCUUCCGCUCAACGGGAGAACAGCAUCCGAUACUACAUGGCUUGAGUGCGGGAGGGGAGAGUGGAACUUCUGGUGGAGCGGUGAAAUGCGUAGAUAUCAGAAGGAACGCCGGCGGCGAAAGCGGCUCUCUGGCCCAUAACUGACGCUGAGUGUGCGAAAGCUAGGGGAGCAAACGGGAUUAGAUACCCCGGUAGUCCUAGCCGUAAAC